rnacentral:rRNA from 1 species
ACUCCUACGGGAGGCAGCAGUGGGGAAUUUUGGACAAUGGGCGCAAGCCUGAUCCAGCAAUGCCGCGUGAGUGAAGAAGGCCUUCGGGUUGUAAAGCUCUUUCAGUUGAAAAGAAAAAGUUCUAGCUAAUAUCUAGAACUCAUGACGGUAUCAACAGAAGAAGCACCGGCUAACUACGUGCCAGCAGCCGCGGUAAUACGUAGGGUGCAAGCGUUAAUCGGAAUUACUGGGCGUAAAGGGUGCGCAGGUGGUUUUAUAAGUCAGAUGUGAAAUCCCCGGGCUUAACCUGGGAAUUGCGUUUGAAACUAUAAAACUAGAGUGUGGCAGAGGGGGGUGGAAUUCCAUGUGUAGCAGUGAAAUGCGUAGAGAUAUGGAAGAACAUCGAUGGCGAAGGCAGCCCCCUGGGUUAACACUGACACUCAGGCACGAAAGCGUGGGGAGCAAACAGGAUUAGAUACCCUGGUAGUCCACGCCCUAAACUAUGUCAACUAGUUGUUGGGUCUUAUUAGACUUGGUAACGAAGCUAACGCGUGAAGUUGACCGCCUGGGGAGUACGGUCGCAAGAUUAAAACUCAAAGGAAUUGACGGGGACCCGCACAAGCGGUGGAUUAUGUGGAUUAAUUCGAUGCAACGCGAAAAACCUUACCUACCCUUGACAUGUCAAAAAAAAUUCAGAGAUGAGUUUGUGCUCGAAAGAGAAUUUGAACACAGGUGCUGCAUGGCUGUCGUCAGCUCGUGUCGUGAGAUGUUGGGUUAAGUCCCGCAACGAGCGCAACCCUUGUCAUUAAUUGCCAGCAUUAGGUUGGGCACUUUAAUGAGACUGCCGGUGAUAAACCGGAGGAAGGUGGGGAUGACGUCAAGUCCUCAUGGCCCUUAUGGGUAGGGCUUCACACGUAAUACAAUGGCG